GUCUUCUUUUCAUUUUUCAUUUGCAGAGGAUAGAGAGAACAAGAGAAGAGAGAAUGUUAGAGAGAGGGAGAAAGAAAGAGGUAUACAGAAGAUCGGAAAUAGCGUUGUGCUCAGGUAUGUGUAAUUUUCAUCCUAAUAUCCUUGUCACCAUAUCUCUAGGUUUUUCUUCACCUUCUUUUUUGGUGAAGACUGGAAACAAGACCGAAUACAUCUUCAUCGCCCUCAUAUCCACAAACUCGGUGCUUGUAGCUUCCGUCAGACCAGUUGGAGCUUUGAUUUACGAUUGAAGGAUGUGCGAACCGAGAUCUAGGGUUAGAUCUGGCGAAAGUUUUGGAUGAUUCUCGAUUUGUUAUUGUGUUACACACACACUUAUACGUACACUUAUAUUUAUACAGACACAAAUAUAUACGCACAUAUUGAUGUAUGAAGUUAAUUUUGUUCGUGAUAAUCUCAGGUGAAGUACUCAACGGAACCCGAAAACCCUACGAAAUGUUAGUUUUCCGAUUAUUAUUCUUAUAUUAUGUCCUAAUUUUGUUCGUGAUAAUCUCAGGUGAAAUACCGGCUGCUGCCAUGGAGCCAAUGCCGGAAAGUUUUGUGUCAACUGUGGAGGAUAGAAAGCUUGAAGAUAGAGAAAAAUGGUGGAAAAUGGGAUUAAAAGCAAUAUCAGAUGGAAAACUGGUUGUGCUGCUUUUAUCUGGUGGACAAGUAUUUAUUUAUUUCACUUUUUUUUAUAAUUAUGAUUCAUAAUUCUGUUGGUUUGGGAACCAUUGAUCAUUAUAAGUUUGUAUAAUCAGCUUCUUCAGGUUUAUAAUCAGAAUUUGCAAAGUAUGUCUGCAUAUCUACUUUUCACUUUAUUAUAAUGACAAAUUCUGAUUAUAUACUGAGAAAGUUCCGGAAGCAGCUUAUUCUACAGAUGAUCUAUGGGCAGACUUUCAAUCUGCUGUAGAAGUUCCAACCACAGGGGCCACUGAUGUUACAAAACCCAUUGACAACAAGCCCAAGCCCGCAUCGGGUAUAAUAACUGAGCCGAUACAUGGGAUCCUUGUGGUUGUUCUUUGCAAAGAGAUGAGUUGCAGUAUGGUGUAGAUGAGUCAUUCAAGUUGUAUGUUAAUUCAAAAGGGAAUCCAAAUUAUGCACAUAUUGAGGCGGCUACGGUUUAUGGAGCUCUACAUGUGCUGUAGGUGUGUGCUGGAUAAAAGUUUCAUGAGAAGAUGGCAUUUGAAAGAUAGAACUCCAUGUGAUAACAAAGCUUGGUAUGGACGGACGCAAUUGUUAUGUCGACGAGCACUAUUUGCCAACCUUUUUCUAUAUGCUUGAUCCUUACGGGAUUGCAAACUUGUCCGUAACACACGUCGACUGGUCUGAAGGAAAAUGGCAUCCGAAAUCUUACCAUGAGCAAGACUUCUCAUACCAACUUAUAAAAAAUAUAACGAAGAAAACCAUGGUUAUGCCAUGUAUGUGGAACGGGAUCAACCGACCGUGUUACUUAUUUGCAAGAAAAUUUAAGCCUGAUACUCUACACCGCAUGAUAGAUCUAUUCACGAAUCAAACGAUGUUUUAAGCAUGGUGACGAGUUUUGUUAUGAUUUUUGGUUCGAAUCAAACCCGUUUGGUUCGGUCUGGUCUGGUUUGACACGUUUUCACAUUGUUGUGAAGUUCUUAAAAAGUCAAGACUCGAAUGAGUCGAUAUCGUGAAUAGAGGUUGGAAAGCGUUGUUUAUCGAGUGAUUUUGAUUGGCCAAUUAUUUAAGGCUACCUAUGAAACCGGUUUAUUAAAUUGAAGAUGAUCAAGGAGAUACAAUAGGUAAAUUGAAUAAAAGAGGGGUAGAUCAAAAGAACCAGAUAUCCCUACAGAUUUGAAUCCCAUUCAGAAAACGGAGUUCUUGAGAAUCAAAGUAGGCGAAGCAAGAGACGCCAUUCAUACGUACAAAAGAGAAGCCAAAGAAAGCGCGAAAAGAUGUUCAAAAGCAGAAUGGGCGAUUAAUCUAUGUACCUCAAGGGUAUCGGAUCUUGAAACUCGAUUAUAUGAAGAAACCAUGAAACAUCCUUCUGGACUAUAACAUGUAGCAUUUCGAUCCGUUGACAAUAAGCCCAAGCCCGCAUCGGGAUUCCAUUAUUGAUGAAUGCGUACAAGAAAACUUGUUACACAUCUGGUAAGUGGUAAGCCCGUAUGCAUGUUUAUUUAUCAUCCAGACCGACACCAUCCAAGCGUAAGGCUUUUGUAACAAUCAGCUGGUCGGAAGCAGCUAAGAAUGCCUUUGUGGUGGACAAUGAAUGUACACGCGAAUGAGUUCUUGUACGAAAACUCUCUAUCCACUGUUGAAAUCAUCAAAAAGAUCGAGACCCCUAUUGACAAGCUUCAAGCUUUUACCAAUAUUCUUAAAAAUAGCGACGAAAGUGACAAAACAAAUCUGACGAUUUACAUUGGUGACUCGGUUGGCAACUUGCUUUGCCUUCUAGAAGCUGAUAUCGGCAUAGUUAUUGCAUCAAGUUCAAGCCUUCGAAAAAUCGUAACCCAUUUUGGUGUGUCGUUUGUUCCGUUAUUUUCUGCUUUAAUCAAGAAACAAAAAGAGCAUGUCGCAGGAAGUGCAUUUGGUUGGAAGGGGUUAUCGGGCGUUUUGUAUACGGUUUCUAGCUGGGCUGAAGGACAUUCUUUCAUCAUCGGUUCUUGAAAUGGAACGUUUCUUCUGUGUUGUUAUAGAACAAAGAGGACGCAUCUUUACAUGUAAUAGAAUGAAGAUGCAACUUGUCAUGGCUGUUGAUUUUAAUAUGGGCCAUAUAUUUUCAUAAAUUUCGUGUAUUUUCAUCUCAAAACAGGAAUUUCUGCUGGUAUAAUGAAUGUUGUCAAGUGGGCAGAGUGGUUCUGUUGCUGAGAUGAAUAGUUUCAUAAGCUUGAAGGGUUUAUUUUCAUAAUUCAAGUUUUUGAAUUUUUUUUUCAGGUUUUGAUUCGAUUUUUUGGCUGGUAAAUAUGUGAAUGGUGUGAUGAAACCUCUGGAAAACCUACAAUUGCACAUUAGAUUCUAUUUUUCUAUUGAUAUGGGAGAUUUGAUUUGCUGAAAGAUCAAGAGUCAAGACCACAGCCAGUUACGCCCUGAGGUCCUACCAAGCGGAGACUACACUGGAUAAUAAACCUAUCUAAGCGAUAUGUUGAGACUACACUGUAUCCGUUGGUGGACCAGCUAAGGUGCUUUUGGAGAUGGACCAAACGGAGGUGUUGCAUUUGCUAGAAUCACCAGAUGCAUUGAAGGCGAAAGUUACUGGCAUGACUUUGAUGCUGGGUAAGAAUCUAUGGGAUGUUUGGAGGAUUUGUUGCUGAUGUCAUUGCUGCCAUCGGUCAGCUAAAUUUGAGGUCAAAUUUGAGGGUUAGACUUGGCGAUGUGGUUUCGUUGCAUCAGUAUGGGAAGCGCAUUCACAUCCUUCCUAUUGACGGACGAUACGAUUGAAGGAGUUGCUGGGAAUCUGUUUGAUGCUUACUUGAAACCGUACUUUUUGGAAGCGUACCGCCCGUCUUCAGGAAGUCGAUCAACGGAACGAAAGAAUAUCAUAUAGGAGCAUCAAAUAAUCGAGGGGAUGUUAUACAGUCACAUAAAGCUGAGAAAUACCAUCGUAAAUGGCAGUGAAAAAAGUUGGUACAGGGAUGGGAAUUACAUCUGUGCAGGAAAUAUUUUGCGUUUUCUAUUUACCGGAAACGAUAGGGUGUCACAAGAAUCUUCUUUGGGAGUUCUAAAACCUUUAGAUUGCCUACUUGGCUACUCAGUUGCAUGAAAGAUGGACUGCAAUUCCAAGCGCCAACGCCAACGCCAACUAGAGGGAAAGGGAAUAACUCCAUAAGUUAAUGAAUAUGUAAAAUAACAUGUUAAAUGGAUUGAUAGAUGACAAGUUACUAGCCAUUUCCAAUUUUAAAAUAUGACGGGAAUCCAUUCAAUACUCCUACAAUUAUUGCCCCACCUGCAUCCCCAAACACAACACAUCCAUGGGUUCUGGAACACCUUUGUCACAUAACAUUCAUGCCUCAUAUAUAACAGACCCUUUGCUCAACCAAUCGAUUAUGUUAAUAAAUGUAAUCUGAUUUUCUUUAAACUUUUUUAGUGUUAAUGCUACAUUUCUAUGAAAAUUUUAAUGAUGAUUUGAAUUUAAAGGAACUGGUUUUCAGUUUCCAA